rnacentral:lncRNA from 1 species
GAGAUAGGGGAGAGGCUGGCGGGAAUGGGGGUGUGGGAGUGUAGGGGGGAUGUGGAUAAUAUGUGGGACAGGGUGUAAAGAUUGUAAAGUCAUCCCGAGUGAGAACCUUUCGACCCAACAUAGGCUCUUGGUUAUGGAUUUGGGUAUGAAGAAGAAUAAAAAGAGGAGGAGUAAGGAGUGUAGACCGAGAAUUAAGUGGGGCGGUUUGACGCCAGUGAAUGCGUGGG